rnacentral:lncRNA from 1 species
AUCCAUUGUGGCCUUCAGCGCUUGCUCCCGCUCAAGGGCCCGUUGAGCCACUUCUUGGUUUUUUAUGAGGCCUUCCUCUAAUCUGUGUAUCCGUUCCCUGUCCUCUUCCUUCUUUCUCUGGCGGCUUCUGUUGGUAUUUGGUAACGCAAUCAGGAAAUGAUCCACAAGUGCACUGAUAUCGGUGAGCACUUCACCCGGGAUGUUAUCCAGAGUAUCGUAUUUAUAUUUUUACCAUUAGGAGAAAGCGUG